UGGCUCAGGAUGAACGCUGGCGGCGUGCUUAACACAUGCAAGUCGAACGAUGAUCCGGUGCUUGCACCGGGGAUUAGUGGCGAACGGGUGAGUAACACGUGAGUAACCUGCCCUUAACUCUGGGAUAAGCCUGGGAAACUGGGUCUAAUACCGGAUAUGACUCCUCAUCGCAUGGUGGGGGGUGGAAAGCUUUUUGUGGUUUUGGAUGGACUCGCGGCCUAUCAGCUUGUUGGUGAGGUAAUGGCUUACCAAGGCGACGACGGGUAGCCGGCCUGAGAGGGUGACCGGCCACACUGGGACUGAGACACGGCCCAGACUCCUACGGGAGGCAGCAGUGGGGAAUAUUGCACAAUGGGCGCAAGCCUGAUGCAGCGACGCCGCGUGAGGGAUGACGGCCUUCGGGUUGUAAACCUCUUUCAGUAGGGAAGAAGCGAAAGUGACGGUACCUGCAGAAGAAGCGCCGGCUAACUACGUGCCAGCAGCCGCGGUAAUACGUAGGGCGCAAGCGUUAUCCGGAAUUAUUGGGCGUAAAGAGCUCGUAGGCGGUUUGUCGCGUCUGCCGUGAAAGUCCGGGGCUCAACUCCGGAUCUGCGGUGGGUACGGGCAGACUAGAGUGAUGUAGGGGAGACUGGAAUUCCUGGUGUAGCGGUGAAAUGCGCAGAUAUCAGGAGGAACACCGAUGGCGAAGGCAGGUCUCUGGGCAUUAACUGACGC
rnacentral:rRNA from 1 species